AAUGAAUAUAGGCAAAGUUGUCGAAAGGCAAUGACGCAAAACUAGUAGGGCCUAAUCGAGGGAAUGGCAGCCAGUUGUAAUU
rnacentral:ncRNA from 2 species